AAUGAACGCUGGCGGCAUGCCUAACACAUGCAAGUCGAACGAAGGCUUCGGCCUUAGUGGCGCACGGGUGCGUAACGCGUGGGAAUCUGCCCCUUGGUUCGGAAUAACAGUUAGAAAUGACUGCUAAUACCGGUUGAUGACGUAAGUCCAAAGAUUUAUCGCCGAGGGGUGAGCCCGCGUAGGAUUAGCCAGUUGGUGUGGUAAGAGCGCACCAAGGCGACGGUCCUUAGCUGGUCUGAGAGGAUGAUCAGCCACACUGGGACUGAGACACGGCCCAGACUCCGACGGGAGGCAGCAGUGGGGAAUAUUGGACAAUGGGCGAAAGCCUGAUCCAGCAAUGCCGCGUGAGUGAUGAAGGCCUUAGGGUUGUAAAGCUCUUUUACCCGGGAUGAUAGUGACAGUACCGGGAGAAUAAGCUCCGGCUAACUCCGUG
rnacentral:rRNA from 1 species